GAUGAAGAACGUAGCGAAAUGCGAUACGUAAUGUGAAUUGCAGAAUUCAGUGAAUCAUCGAAUCUUUGAACGCACAUUGCGCCCCUUGGUAUCCCGAGGGGCAUGCCUGUUCGAGCGUCAUUUCACCACUCAAGCCUGGCUUGGUGUUGGGCGACGUCCCCUUUGGGGACGCGCCUCGAAACGCUCGGCGGCGUGGCACCGGCUUUAAGCGUAGCAGAAUCUUUCGCUUUGGAAGUCGGGGCCCCGUCUGCCGGAAGACCUACUCGCAAGGUUGACCUCGGAUCAGGCAGGGAUACCCGCUGAACUUAAGCAUAUCAAUAAGCGGAGGA
rnacentral:misc_RNA from 1 species